UGCACAAACAUUCAUUGUCGUGGAGAGAGAGGGUCAAAUUAUUGCAUGUGCUGCUGUAUUUCCUUUCUUCAAAGAAAAAUGCGGAGAAGUUGCUGCUAUUGCUGUGUCUCCUGAAUGCCGUGGCCAAAGACAGGGAGACAAACUUCUUGAUUACAUAGAGAGGAAGGCGCAAUCCGUUGGGCUUGAAAUGCUUUUCCUGCUUACAACUCGGACUGCAGAUUGGUUUGUGAGGCGUGAUUUCUCAGAAUGUUCUAUAAAAACCAUACCGGAGGAGAAGAGAAAGAAGAUCAAUACGUCCCGUGGUUCCAAGUAUUAUAUGAAAAAAUUACAGUCGGACAGUAGCGGCAUAGCCAUUGAUCGAUACAACGCCAUUAACAGAUGAGUUAAACUCAUCCAAGAAAUAAUUGUUUAGCUUGCUUCGUUGUCGAGCUUAAUCUCUACGACACAUAUAUUUAGGUGUAUAGAAUGGUUCAUUUGUCAUCAUGUAAGUGUAUAUUAUUGCAGAGCCCAAGGUGGGUUUGGGAGAAAAGAGUGAGAUCCAUGGAGCUUUUAUAUAUAAUCCCCACCCCAACAUUUUCUUCUUGUUAAGGGUCCCUGGGUAUUUUGGGACUUGUAUUACAGGAACAUGUUGUAAAUCGAUCAUGCUUCAUGGUUCAUAUCGCCACUCUUGACUUCCGAUGUUAACAAGUAACGUUUAUUCUCUAAUUUGGUUACAAAGUAAAUGGGGCAUGUUGAGUUA